rnacentral:rRNA from 1 species
AUUGAACGCUGGCGGCAGGCCUAACACAUGCAAGUCGAACGGCAGCGGGGGAGAGCUUGCUAUCCUGCCGGCGAGUGGCGGACGGGUGAGUAAUGCAUGGGGAGCUGCCCAAUCGAGGGGGAUAACAACUGGAAACGGUUGCUAAUACCGCAUACGCCCUGCGGGGGAAAGGUGGGGACCUUCGGGCCUACCGCGAUUGGAUGCACCCAUGUGGGAUUAGCUAGUUGGUGAGGUAACGGCUCACCAAGGCGACGAUCUCUAGCUGGUCUGAGGAGAAGACAGGCCAACCUGGAACUGAGACACGGUCCAGACUCCUACGGGAGGCAGCAGUGUGGAAUAUUGCACACUGGGGGAAACCCUGAUGCAGCCAUGCCGCGUGUGUGAAAAAGGCCUUCGGGUUGUAAAGCACUUUCAGUGGGGAGGAAGGGCUGAUGACUAAUAUUCAUCAGCAUUGAUGUUACUCACAGAAGAAGCACCGGCUAACUCCGUGCCAGCCGCCGCAGUAA